ensembl:lncRNA
AGCCAGAGAGCAGUGAUUGGUCAGACCAUAGGCAAUUUAGAAGACAGCGCGCUAGCGUAUCUGUUCUAUGUAUAUCUAUGGUCGGUACAUCUGGUAGCAUCUCUGGCUGCUGUUGACCUUGUUUUUGGAGUAAAACACGGUGGAAGCUGAAUUAGUAAGGAUGACUCCUGCUCCUGUCAUCUCUAAGCUCCUCACACAUCUUUACCUGCACAUGAGGAAAAUCACUCCUGUAGAAUGCAGAUGUUCAGAGGGAGAUGAUGCCACAUCUGGUCCAGCUGAUGGAAGGUCUUGAAGUUCUCUGACUGGCCUCGACUGAAGAUGGUCGUCUCACUGGAUUUAAGGUUCAGAUGCUCAGUAACAAACUCCACCAAUGUGCCAACAGGGAAGCUUUAGGUUUAUUAAAUGUUGCUAUGAAGGUUUCGCUGUUUUUCUUUGUGAAUGCAAUGUGCUCCAACUGAAACUUGAAUUAGAACUUAGAAGUAAAUCCUUCCAUCUGAAAGGAUUUAGUUGCAUUAAUAACCUCAUAACAUUCUAAUUUUUAUUACAGUUUUGGCUGAAAAUAGAAUCUCUGUAUUGAUUCAGGUAAAAACUGAACUUCACAGCAUGUUGAAGCAAAACAACCAGAUGAAAACUGUGAUGGUGUUGGAUUGUCAGACCGUAAUGUUGCAGCUCAAAGCAGCUUUUCUAUCUCAGUUCAUUCUGACAUUCAGCUAUGAAUCAACACAGCAGAUGGUGAUCCAUGCUGUGGAAGUCUCACAUCUCCUGAUUUAAUGGAGCUGCUUUGCACUUUUUACACUGUUUAUUCACCAACACUUUAUUUAAUAAAAGUCCCAUUUAGUUUUUAUGAGGAAUGUGAUGUUUUAAUUUCUCUGUGAAUAACUGCAGUCUAAUGCAACAGCUGGAGUUGUAACAUCUGUCCUGAUAUUGAUCAUGAAGUAUUGAUCAGAAUACUGAUGGUCAGCAGUCAUCCCUGAAGUUUUACAUUAAAAUCUUUACUUGUGUUGUGAACUUUGGUAAGAAGCAGAAACGUUAGCGUUGCCAUGGAUACAUGAGUGUUAAAUUCAGUCCAUGUUUCCAUUUUGGGAAAUGCAGUCCAGUUCCAGAAUGUGGAGGAAUUUAGUCUCACAAUCACAGACAACAAAUAUUAUCUGAAAGCCGGGUUAUUGUUGUUUAUCAGCACAAUACAAAAAGAUCAAUGUUAGAAAUAUUCCAGUUAAGACUCUAGAAUACCAUGAUUUAUGUAAAUUUACCUAAAUAAUAUGAAUGUUCAGGUUAAAAUUGUACAGUGAUAUUUAUUAUGUAAGUUUAGCUGAUUAAAGUUUAUGACUCUGCACUAAAAUAUUAUUUAAAUUGACAUCAUUAUUAUAAUAUUUAGGGUCAGACCCUACAGUAUUGAGAUUAAGAAAUCAAAUAUUCUAUAAAAUGUAAAUACACUGAACUCAUUUGGAUAUAUUUAAGUGAGACUCUACAAUAUUAUUUGACACAAAUCUAUCUAAAUCAAAAUUUUAAUAAUUUUCACACCAAACAUUUACUGGACUGAUUUAAACAUUAAAAUCACUCCUUUCUAAUCCUCUGCUGUACGUUCAAACCUGAGGCCUUAAACAGAAACACACAAGUAUCUGUUUGAAGGAACUUCUGCAGAGUCCUGGUUCCAGAACAUGAUGAUAGAAUUAUAGACAAACUUUAACAAAAGCUGCCUAAGAGUUUACAGGUUUUUAUGUUGGAUUUCUUCAGUAAUUUAAUGAGCGUUAUCAGCAAUAAUCAAGUGUUCAUUUGAUGAACUUCAUUUCCUAAAACAUCCAGAAUUGGAGCUCAUAUCUUUGACAGCUGUAAAGUUUCUGCUCCUUCAAAGUUCACAACACAAUGAAUUAAUUCCUAAAACACUCUCAAUGCUGGAGAACGUUUGUGAUGCUGAAGCAGUGAGCAGUUUUUCUGUUUCUUCUCUGGAGAUGCACAAUGAGGGACGUCUGCAGUGACUGAGAAAGAGUCUCACCACAUCCUGACAUGAGGAAAACGACUUUAUUGAAGACUACAAUGAGAAAAACUAUCAGACAGCAGAGGGCUGCAUUCAAGGUGAGCUCUGAACAUCUGAUCUGGAACAGGAAUUCAAUAACAGCAGCAUGAGCUUCAUUUCAGUCUGUAGCUGCUGAAUUCAUGGAUGAAUCAUCUGGCACUAGAGAAGAAGACCAUCAAACAUCCACGUCAGCUGAUAGAGGUCCAAGAGUCUCACCAAACAAACAACCUACAGAGUGAAGACCUCAAAUCUGAUUGGACGGCCUCCUAUUCAGCCACGUGUGAACAAAUGCCUCUAAGUUGAUUUGUUUUCUAAAAUAAAUCUAGUUUGAGUUCUAAUCUAUGUCUGUGUGUUUGCUUCUUUACACCGCUGUUAACAGUUUAGGCUGUUAGAUUGUUCCAGAUAAGACAAGAUCCUGCAGAGCCGUUCUACCACGAGCCUGACAGGAAGAACUCCAACAGCUACUGAAUGUUCCUGUGGUUCCCUCAAGGCUACAGGAGGAGUCCUACGAGGACGAGCCGGUCCACCUGAUGGUGGCCAGUUGCUGUGGUUCAAAGCCAACACCGACUACGUGGACUUCUACUGGACCACACGGAGGCCUUCAAACUGGACCACCAAGUUCACUGACUCCCCGACUCGUGGGUCUGAGGACGCCGCCGAGCCUCGGCCCAGCCGGCCUCCUGUCUGUGGGUGUUUGAGUGCUGAGAGGUUUGUGGAUGCAUGUGAACAUGUCUGUGUUGAAACAGCAGCUUUGGACUCAGUAACGCUGGGAAAAACCAAGAGCUCCUUUAUUUGUGACUUCCACUAAAAAACUGAUGAAAAUAAGUUUGCCAGGGUUCUGACUGAUAACAGAUUAUUAAAUAAUGAAAAUAAUCGUUUAAAUAUUUCUUUAAACAAUCCUUUUAGGUCUACAUUUCCUUUACACUGACUUCUUGGUAUAUGUACAACUAUUUUGGAUGGACUAUACCAUUAAGUCCAAUGUUCAAGGGUUCUUCUGGGAAUAUACCAUUAAACCAACCUUUUAGGUAAAUGUUCCAGGAUGUUGGGUAGAAUAUACCAUCAGAUCAACCUUUUAGGUCUACAUUGGAAGAUUUUAGAGUAGAAUAUUACUCCAAACCAUCCUUUAGGUCUACAUUUAAGGUGGAAUACUCCUUUACACCAAGAUUUUUUGGUCUCGAUUGAAGGAUUUUAGGUGGAAUAUUCCUUUGAAUGAACUUUUUAAGUUUAUGUUCAAGGAUGUUGGGUGGAAUAUACCAUCAGACCAACCUCCAAGGUCUACAGUAGUGAAUUUUAGCUGGAAUAUACCAUUAAACUCACCUUUUAAGUCUACAUUGGAGGAUUUUAGGUGGAAUUUUCUUCCAAACCAUCUUUUAGUCUACAUUUAAGGAUGUUUAGGAUGGUAUAUUCUUCCGAACCAACUUCUCAGGUCUUCAUUUCAGGUGGAAUAUUCCUCCAUACUAACUUUUUUGGUCUACAUUGAAAGAUUUUUUCUAAACCACCCUUUCGGGUCUAUAUUUGGGGUUUUAGGUGGAAUAUUCCUUUUAACCAGCCCCUCAGGUCUCUUUGAGGAUUUUGGAUGGAAUACUCAGUUAAAUCAACAUUUUAGGUGCAUGUCCAAGGAUUUUUGGUGGAAUGUUCCUUUAAGGUGGAUGUUUGAGGACCUUGUAGGUGGAAUACUUCCUGAAACUAACCUUUUAGGUCAACAUUCAAAGAUUUAAGGUGGAAUAUUCCUUUAAACCAACCUAAAUUUCAUGUUUUGAUCAUUAUCAAGUGAGAAACCUCAAUCCAGACUCCUCAUAAUGACGUUUGAGAUUUAUGCUGCUGUUAUUUGUUUAGUCCAGACUAAAUGACAGAAAUCCACAACUGUAAUUUUAUUUCAGGACUCGGUUAUUAAAUGUCAAAACAAUCCAUGUGACUCUAAAAACUCAACAGCUGAACUCUCCACAAGGAUCCAAAAUAAGUUGGACUUCUACAUGAGAGCUUUAAUUAUUCUUCAUCUACUACCUGAAAAGUUUGGUCAAUAAAAAAGACAAAACUAAAAAC